AGCAAACGCAUUUCGUCGCCCUCUAUUGUACAUUCACGUUGUCCAAAUGUUUCUCGUCUUUCGGCAAACGGACGCCGUAUUUAAAUUGAUCCUGUAACGGUAUUUCCUCGUGCAAUAAUAAGGAUCAACGUGGUCGCCGUAAUCGUCCCCUCCUCUUUUUCUCCUACGUAAACCCCGAGCAACCCCCUCGUCCCUCGUCCGUUCGCGCUUCCAGAAUGGCGACGUUCUCAAACUUUUUCUGCUCAUCGACGUCUGGCGUCGACCGUGUACACGGCGUUCGAGUUAACCUCUGUUGGAAGACGUUCUCAAAGAAGGCAAAGGAGAAUACACACAGAAAAAUAAAAACGAGACAAAAAGCAAAUUUAUACGCUCGACUCGGUUCACUCGAGGAGCAAUGCGUGCGAUUGAGAAAACUUUCCACGUACACGUGGACUAUGGAUUAUGACGCAAGGAAACGAAGAGAUUCGUUAAAGAAGCACUCCUAUUUAUUUGACGUACGUUUCAUGUAUUUUCGUGGAUUACUAUUUUUAACGCGACAUAACGGCGUCCCGUUCGCGUCACUCUGGCUAUUCCGUCCGCCAUGCUUGCUGCCGACGCCAUAUGUCUCGCGCUGUCAAAUUCUCUGAAACCUCGUAUAUCAGGACGCUCAAGGAAAUGUACCUCGUGAUCGUGAAGAUGAUCUUCGAUACCACUGGCGAAGGAGUAACCUAGAGAUUUAAUGGAGGAAGAAAAUUUCACGGAGGCUCAGCGAAGAUACAUGACAGGUUAUGUUACGUGCCACCAGCACGUGAUUACGUAACGGCCUGACAAUAGAAUUACAUAGAUGCCAGACGUCGCGAUCUGAUGACGACGAAGAGACGGAAAUAUAUAGAUAUUUUGAUAAUUUAAUACGAUUCGAUAUUUCUUCGAUUGUGCAACGAAUGAUCGGAGGACCGCGAUCACGACUUCCGCGUGUCCAAGCGAUGCCAACUGACGCUAAUAGAACAUUCUGUAUAUGUACGUACGUAUCAAUAGACAUCAUACAAAGAGCAGGAUGCUUAACCUCAUAUAUUAAUGUAGAAGACCAACGUGUAUCUUCCAUAUAUAGAUGAACGUUGAUGCACUCCAUGAAAUCAUGACACCAGGAUCAUGUGCAUUCGAUUGACUUCAAUUAAUUGCCGAAGAGAAUCACAGUACAGAGGACAAUUGUAGUGUCAUGAUUGCGGUCAAUAUCUUUUGACAUCACUUGAAAUAUGAUGGUCGAUAACUCUUUAACGUACAUAUGAAUUAUCGAAGCAACGACUGCAACGGUUCCUUUUUGGUGCUAAUCGUGAAUAACGAUUCUCGAUAAGCGAUUAUCGAUUGAUCGAUAACAAUUCAAAUAUAUACAAUUGAUGUUAAAGUACAAUCGUCACAGUUAUCAUUACGUGGAAGAUAACUAAAAAACAGUAUAGUCAUAAGCAAUCAGUGUCAGGAUUUGGAAACCGUGCUAAAUGCGAGUAAAUCCAAGUGAGGUCAUCCUUCUUCCGCUAUUCGAGGGAACAUUAGGUAAAUUGCUGGUGUAACCGGAAAAAUGGAGGGCAAAUAAACUGACUAAAGCGAAAGGAGAGAGACGAGCGUGGAGCCAGAAGGGCUAUAAGUGUAAUGUAUAGCUAUAUAUAUAUUUUUUAUUCGUGUUAUACAUUAUAUUAUACGCGUAGCGAACAACGGCUAUUUCUGACAGUACGAAUCUCGAACUAGCAGUUUAGUUUCACGAUAAGCAGGCAAAUGCUGAUGCAGCGAAGAUAGUUUUCCCGUUCGAUCUAUACUCAGUCAUGUUUUUUAUUCGUAUGUCUGAUUCUCAGUAUAUAUAUGCGUGUAUACCAGUAUAUAUGUAUAUAUAUUUCCUUACACGAUAAUAAGCCGUUUUCAAAACUAUCGUUGGAAAAGGGAAUAAGAAGGAAUUCGAUCGCGAAUGUUGUUGCCUUUCUGAAUUUUAAUCUCAAUGUCGGGUAUAAUUUUCUUAAUGGUUACGGAACUUGAGCGAAAGUUCACAUAUCGAUGCAAAACGUUAUGUCGAAAGUCGGAAGGCAAGUCCCGAUUGAUGCAAAGGUUCGGUGGAAAUUUCCAUGGGGCCUCGGGUAAUCUCGGAAGGACUCGGCGAUAUUCGGACGGCUCGUCAAACUACCCAUUCGCCAUUUACCAAUCGCUACAUUAACUGCAAUCCAACCGUUGAAUUGGUGGUGUGGCAACCGCGCUCGGGGAAUCGCAACUAACAAACGAUUCGCCGUGAUACGUCGGUGCCUCCACGAGUUCGAUGAAUGAAUGUAUGAAAAGAGGUAAUGAAAAAGCUAAUCGUCAGAAUCGACCUAUUGGCCCGUCGCGAUGGUAAACAAUUGCGAUACGAGAGCGCGAAUCUGACAUUGAGUCGUGAACGCGCAGUGUUGCAAGGAAUAAAAAUGUAAGUGAUAGAGUAUUCCCAUAGUCUUAAAACGAAUGGGGCGUAUAAAAGAUAAAUAAAUAUUGAAAGAAAAGCAUAAACAAACAGA